UUACCCUGGUUUCUCUUCAGAUCGUGUGAAUCUUUCGCCUUUUACUAAGGAUUUCCGUGGAGAGAAACAGGGACGAGUAUAGAUCAAUUUUUUAAGGCUCUACUUAGCAGGAGCU